CUAAGAUCUAAAAUGGCGGCGUUCGCUCCGUGCGUAAAUACUGCCUGCGUACCAGGUGUGGAAAGGCGGCCAAAGGACACAUUUACUAAGGAAAGUGCUGAAACUGGACAGUUUUUGUGUUGUGAUACUCCAGAUGAGGACUUUUAAGCAUAUUAAUACAUAACAUUUGUUCUGGAAGCAUCUCAGAGAAAACAACUCCAAGACCAUGUGGAUUCCAGCAAUAGAGAGGAAUCGAUAGGACUACUCCAGCCAUGAAGACAGAAGAGAAGCAGUCCAGAGAUGGAAGACGCUGACUUGGUCUUCCCAUACUAGCAGUUAGCAGCUGUGCAUCACUGCAGGUUGCCCAGGACCAAACCAGAGAGAGUUGGACCUGCAUUACCACCGUUUCUCCACCAUCCAGAACUGUAAUGUCAGUCCUGACAUGUACACAUAAGGAACUGUUGGACAUUGUAAUUGGGUCUCAAAAGAACUGUUGGCCCAGAAAGAAACUCACUACAGACUGAUUCAUUUCCUGUCACCAUAACCAUUAUUGCUUGUCUCAUUUUCUGUUCUUAUAAGUGUAUUUCUAAUAGCACAUGAUCUCACUCAUCUAGUGGAAAUAAUGAACAACAUAGACUGAUGAACAAGAACAGACCCAGAAACAAGGAGGCACGGAUCAGACU